rnacentral:rRNA from 1 species
GACGAACGCUGGCGGCGUGCUUAACACAUGCAAGUCGAACGGAAAGGCCCUGCUUUUGUGGGGUGCUCGAGUGGCGAACGGGUGAGUAACACGUGAGUAACCUGCCCUUGACUUUGGGAUAACUUCAGGAAACUGGGGCUAAUACCGGAUAGGAGCUCCUGCUGCAUGGUGGGGGUUGGAAAGUUUCGGCGGUUGGGGAUGGACUCGCGGCUUAUCAGCUUGUUGGUGGGGUAGUGGCUUACCAAGGCUUUGACGGGUAGCCGGCCUGAGAGGGUGACCGGCCACAUUGGGACUGAGAUACGGCCCAGACUCCUACGGGAGGCAGCAGUGGGGAAUAUUGCACAAUGGGCGGAAGCCUGAUGCAGCAACGCCGCGUGCGGGAUGACGGCCUUCGGGUUGUAAACCGCUUUCGCCGGUGACGAAGCGUGAGUGACGGUAAUGAGUAAAGAAGCACCGGCUAACUACGUG